rnacentral:rRNA from 1 species
AUGGCAUCUCUUACUCCAGGGAUACUGUUAAAGGUUCUCAAACAUAUAAACUCUGAUGUGAAAGUAUGUGGAGAACACCGGUCAAUUCUUCUCCAAGUUAUUAGCAUCGUUCCUGCAAUUACUGGUUCAGAACUUUGGCCAGACCAUGGUUUCUUCAUAAAAGUUUCAGAUUCAUCGCACUCAACAUAUGUGUCUUUAUCAAAGGAGGAUAAUGAACUCAUCUUAUCAAACAAACUACAACUUGGACAGUUCAUAUAUGUUGAAAAGGUUCAGUCCAGUGUUCCUGUUCCAGUUCUUGUUGGGGUCAGAGCAGUCCCAGGAAGGAACCCUUUCAUUGGAAACCCGAAGGAUUUGAUGCAAAUGUCAACUCCCUCUGGGGUUUUGGAAGCAUUGGAUCAACAACGGAAAACUACCAAGCCAACUGAAUUGUCUGAGAGUGAAAAGGAAAACUCUCAGAGGAAGGUAGUCAUCAAAGAGCAGAAGGCCGGUGUUGCUUCCCGUUACAUGCUUGGGAUAUCAAGCAACAAUGGUAAAAUUACCAAUCUAAACUCUAGCAUGGAUAGUGACAAAAGUAGUAAUGGAGGAAGUAGUGUUUGCGAGGCAAACCAAAAGCUGGUCUCUAGUGCUACGAAAGUGAAACAAGAGUCAAAACCUCAGGAAAGGCCAAAUAUUACCUCUCCUAAUAAUGCCAAGUUAGCUUCUACGAGACAAGAAGUUAAUAAGGAAAUACGCAAGAAUAGUGGCAGGCCACUCAGUCAGAACGGUUCUGCUGUAGUGAAGAAGCAAAUGCCAAGAGACAUAAAAAGGGAAUCAGCAACUGAAGGAAGCUCACCGCCAAAGCUUUAUAGGAGUUCACCAUCAACGCCAGCAAGAACUUCACCACCAAAGCUCAGGAGUUCACCACCAACGCCAGCAAGAACUUCACCACCGAGAAUCAAUGUGCCAGCAAAGGCAAAUGCUACCUCCAGUCCAGUUUCUUCUGUGCCUAAUAUUAAAAGAAGAGUCACAGAAACCGUGUCCUGGGAUACCCUUCCAACAUGCUUGAUCAAAUCUGGAAAGGCCGUUGUCAGGAGGAAGACUAUUGCUCUUAUAGUAGCAGCAGAGGCACAAAGGGAGGCUACUGCUGCUGCAUCUCUUGUGAAAGGCCUUGGAAUUUUUACCGAGAUACUGAAAUCCGCCGAGGAGGAUCCGCAUGGCGCAGUCAACAAGUUUUUUCAGCUAAACCGGCUUAUCAUUCAGCAAAACAUUUUCUGGAAAGAUAACUCGCCAGAUUCUGGCAAGGAAUCCAGACCAGAGAAGGAGAAGCCAUCAAGGAAAGUUUCUGCAUCUCAGAACAAAGCUGCUGGAAGUGGUGCAGCGAAGAACCCCGACGAUGCCUAUACGAGUGGUAAGCUCGAAUGGGCCAGAGAAGAUGGUUUCAAGGAGAUAGGCAGGUCAUGGAUCGAUCUGAAAAGGGAAUCACAGUCAUGGUUUCUGAACUUCCUGGAAGACGCGCUUGUGUCCGGAUUCAAAUUUGAGGGCCGAGUUAAGAACAGCACCAGAGAACGGGUGCGAGGGCAGUCCAAGGGUGGCGACGGGCAGAUCGCGGUCCGGCUGUCGCAGCUCAAGGAGACCAGCAACUGGCUUGACCAGCAGCUGCAGAGCGAGGGGGCGAAACCUGACGACGGUUUGGUCGAAACCAUCGAGCGGCUGAAGCAGAAGGCCUACUCGUGCCUGCUCGGGACCGUCGAGACCGCGGCCUCGGCUCUUGAAAGCAGAAACGGUUGCAGCUGA